UGGGGAAUUUUGGACAAUGGGCGCAAGCCUGAUCCAGCCAUGCCGCGUGAGUGAAGAAGGCCUUCGGGUUGUAAAGCUCUUUCGCAAGGGAAGAAAACUUAGUUCUUAAUACGAGCUGAGGAUGACGGUACCUUGAUAAGAAGCACCGGCUAACUACGUGCCAGCAGCCGCGGUAAUACGUAGGGUGCGAGCGUUAAUCGGAAUUACUGGGCGUAAAGCGUGCGCAGGCGGUUUGAUAAGUCAGAUGUGAAAGCCCCGGGCUCAACCUGGGAACUGCGUUUGAAACUGUCAGACUAGAGUGUGUCAGAGGGGGGUAGAAUUCCACGUGUAGCAGUGAAAUGCGUAGAGAUGUGGAGGAAUACCGAUGGCGAAGGCAGCCCCCUGGGAUAACACUGACGCUCAUGCACGAAAGCGUGGGGAGCAAACAGG
rnacentral:rRNA from 1 species